CACCCAACACAACACAGAUAGAUAGAGAGAGAGAGAGAGCGUCGUCUACAUUGCCAAUUUUCCAUCGUCGUCGCCGUCCACGGCCUUUUCCCUUUCUCUCUCUUUUGAUUUAAGGUUUGGGGUUCACUCCUUUGUUGAUUUAACCACCUGUUGUUGUUGUUUCUCAAAAUCGACUUCUAUUUAAUUCAUCAGAUUGCAAAGGAGGAAAUGAAAAUGUCAUAACUGCGAAGAAAAGGAAGCGAACUUGAGUGUUGCUGGUGAAGUAUAAUCUAGUAUGAACAACAUUGAUGAGAUGAAUCCCAAUGUUUCUGUUCGAAAGCGGUUUAAGUUUCCCAAAAAGUUUUUUGAUGAGUGUAAUGGAGUUGAUCAUGAUUCUGUUCCUCGGAAACUUCGUUCAGGUGAAAUGUUUCGUGGUUGAGUUAAACUUUGGAAUUCCAGUCCAUCUCUCCGCCUUUGCCAAAUUUCAAAAAGAUGAAUCACAUGUCAGAUGGAGCUGAAACAUUAAGGAAAUAUGUCAACAAGUCCAAGCUUAAUUUGACUCAUUGUAGCUCGAGUUAUUUUUCUGUUUGUCAGUAUUUUUCUUAAGUUCGCGAUGCUAAGGUGGAUUUCAUAACUGAAAAGUGAUAAGAUAUCACCGCUUUCUUUAAGUCUGAAAAGAAAUAUAGAUUCUUCGGAGUUUAGAAUCUCUGUUAAAGGUAUUAAUAAAGGUAUGCAUUAUGCCUUAGAAUACAUGUCUAUAGGUGUUGAUCGUGUUCGUUUCCUUUGAACUUGAAUGCCGAUAAAGAUGGCUGAAUACAAUCUAUGAAUUACCAAUGUUGUUUCAUGGUUUUCAAUUACUGUUUAUUAACUUGUCUAUAAGAAUGAUUUGCUUGCAAUAAGAAAUACGUUUUAGUAGGAAAAUUGCAAUGUAAAUUGGCUACUUCGAUUGAGUCUUUGUAUAUGUAAAACCAUUAUUCUAAGAAGUUACGUGAUAGAACUUUUCUCCAUCUCUGUAGUGAUAAACCAUAUCUCACCAUAUCUCCAAUAGUUCCUUUGGAGGAUCACAAGAUCUUCAAAUUAUUGAGAAGUGCUAUCCCAUGCAGAAACGUAUAUUCUUGACGUUGACAAAUGAGCAGGUUUAUUCUUAACUUUCUAAUAUAUAGGUGUUGAUCAUGUUCGUUUCCUUUGAACUUGAAUGCCGAUAAAGAUGGCUGAAUACAAUCUAUGAAUUACCAAUGUCGUUUCAUGGUUUUCAAUUACUGUUUAUUAAUUUGUCUAUAAGAAUGAUUUGCUUGGAAUAAGAAAUACGUUUUAGUAGGAAAAUUGCAAUGUAAAUUGGCUACUUCGUUUGAGUCUUUGUAUAUGUAAAACCAUUAUUCUAAGAAGUUACGUUUUGCAUAACUUGGGGGCUUAUCGAAAUCCCUAAUUUGCUGCUAAACUUGAAAUGGAGUGACUGCUGCCUGCUGUUGGUUUUUCGAGCCACAUUUGGAGUUGGGUUUGUUGGUAAGAAACUGCUGCAUUUUGGAUCAUUUGGCUGCUGAACUUCAGGGGCAACCCCCUGAUUGCAUACUAAAGGACGCAAAAAACACUAGCAAGCUAAGUUAUUCAAGUUUGCUUGGGAGCAUUAAUCCUAUAAUCCUAUGAGCAGAUCAUACCUUUCUUAUACUUGAGCAUUUGGAUACUUUUCUCCAUGUUACUUAUAGUUUUGGUGUAAAGGGUUCUAGCUAUGACGUGUAGAUAGUUGGAAUAUUUUGCUAAAAUGGAUGUGGUUGAACAACACAAGCAUAGUGUAUUGUAUACAUUUUUCAACCAUCUAAGUGUUAUUAAUGCAAUUGAUUAAACUUAUCAGUAAAACAGAAAGGAAAACAUGAGCAGAAGGUGUAAACUUGUGGUAUAUGGUAUUAGCUUAGUGCUAGCAGCCAAUUAACUUGUGGUAUAUGGUAUUAGCUUAGUGUUAACAGCCAAUUAACUUGUGAUAUAUGCAUUUUGUGGGGCUUGUUUUAGUUUCUUUAUAAUCUAAAGUUUUGGUUUCAAGUCUGUUUUGAUGUUGAUAAGUAAUGAAACAUUAUUGAUUGAGAGUAGUUCUUUCUCAGGAUUAUAUGGCUUAAGCUGUAACCGUGAUAAGAUAUCGGAUGGCUAAAGCUCUUUUAAUUUUUGCAGGAUGCCAAGGGCAAUGAUGUUGAUCUCAGUCUGAUAUUGAUCAAUGUGAAGCAUAUUACGAAGCUGCUGGGGGAACAAGGAAGAGAAGAAUAUAUGGUCUUGGAUCUCAAGCACAAAGUUAUCUGCUUUUUGUUGGAAAGAACAAAAUUAUGCACUAACAAUACUUGAUGGAUGUGUGGGUUCUUUUGGUAGUUGACAGCUUGGUGUUGUCGGUGUUUUGGACUUAACGAUUAGGAUUUCGCUAUCUAUUUUGAAUCUUUUUUAUAAAUAUUAUUUUAUGUGAAUGUCAGUUAUUUUUAAGGGUAUUUAUUACUUUGUAUUUA